rnacentral:rRNA from 1 species
UACAGAGGUGCCGAGCGUUAGGCGGAAUCACUGGGCUUAAAGCGUGUGUAGGCGGGUCCGUAAGUACCUUGUGGAAUCCCACGGCUCAACCGUGGAACUGCUUGGUAUACUGCGGGUCUUGAGCCACCUAGGGGCAAGCGGAACAAGCGGUGGAGCGGUGAAAUGCGUAGAUAUCGGGAGGAACGCCGGUGGCGAAAGCGACUGUCUGGGGUGCCUGUGACGCUGAGGCGCGAAAGCCAGGGGAUCAAACGGG